CCUACGGGAGGCAGCAGUAGGGAAUCUUCCACAAUGGACGAAAGUCUGAUGGAGCAACGCCGCGUGAGUGAUGAAGGUUUUCGGAUCGUAAAACUCUGUUGUAAGGGAAGAACAAGUACGAGAGGAAAUGCUCGUACCUUGACGGUACCUUGCGAGAAAGCCACGGCUAACUACGUGCCAGCAGCCGCGGUAAUACGUAGGUGGCAAGCGUUGUUCGGAAUUAUUGGGCGUAAAGCGCGCGCAGGCGGCCUUUUAAGUCUGAUGUGAAAGCCCCCGGCUCAACCGGGGAGGGUCAUUGGAAACUGGAAGGCUUGAGUACAGAAGAGAAGAGUGGAAUUCCAUGUGUAGCGGUGAGAUGCGUAGAGAUGUGGAGGAACACCAGUGGCGAAGGCGACUCUUUGGUCUGUAACUGACGCUGGGGCGCGAAAGCGUGGGGAGCAAACAGGAUUAGAUACCCUGGUAGUCCACGCCGUAAACGAUGAGUGCGUAGGUGGUUGGGGGUUUCCGGGUCCCGUCCUGUGUCGUGAGACGUACGACAUAAGUACGACCGUCCGCCGUCGGGGUAGGGUACCGGGCCGGCCGACGGCGUUGAACGUACGAAAGUUAGUAAGUUAGACGGCGNGAGACGNGCCGACGGACGACGACGAGGGAGGAGG
rnacentral:rRNA from 1 species